UACGUAGGGUGCGAGCGUUGUCCGGAAUUAUUGGGCGUAAAGGGCUCGUAGGCGGUUUGUCACGUCGGGAGUGAAAACCCGGGGCUCAACCCCGGGCCUGCAGUCGAUACGGGCAGACUAGAGUGUGGUAGGGGAGACUGGAAUUCCUGGUGUAGCGGUGAAAUGCGCAGAUAUCAGGAGGAACACCGGUGGCGAAGGCGGGUCUCUGGGCCAUAACUGACGCUGAGGAGCGAAAGCGUGGGGAGCGAACAGG
rnacentral:rRNA from 1 species